rnacentral:rRNA from 1 species
AUUCCAGCUCCAAUAGCGUAUAUUAAAGUUGUUGCAGUUAAAAAGCUCGUAGUUGGAUUUGUGGCGUACGGUGUGUUCCGGGCACUUGUUGUCUGAGUAACCUGCCGUUGCCAUCCUUGGGUGGAACCUGUGUGGCAUUAGGUUGUCGUGCAGGGGAUGCCCAUCCUUUACUGUGAAAAAAUUAGAGUGUUCAAAGCAGGCUUAUGCCGUUGAAUAUAUUAGCAUGGAAUAAUAAGAUAGGACUUGUUUGCUAUUUUGUUGGUUUGCGCAAUAGGUAAUGAUUAAUAGGGACAGUUGGGGGUAUUCGUAUUCCAUUGUCAGAGGUGAAAUUCUUGGAUUUUUGGAAGACGAACUACUGCGAAAGCAUUUACCAAGGAUGUUUUC